GACGAACGCUGGCGGCGUGCCUAAUACAUGCAAGUCGAGCGGACAGACGCGUUCCUUUCUCGUCUGUCUUUAUCAGCGGCCGAGUGAGUAGCACGUCGAUAAUCUCCCUAUACCACUGUGAUAAUUUCGGCAUACCGGAGUUACUACUGCGGAAUAUAUUGAACCUCUUGGUUCAUUAGUCUAAGACGGUUUUGCUUUCGCUUAUAGAUGGUCUCGCGCCGUAUUAGCUAGUUGGUGGGGUGACGGCUUACCAAGGCAGCGAUGCGUGGCCGACCUGAGAGGGGGAUCGGCCACACUGGAACGGAGACACGGCCCAGACGCCUACGGCAGGCAGCAGUAGGGAGUCUUCCGCAAUGGUCGGAAGCCGGACGGAGCAGCGCCGCGUGAGUGAUGAAGGUCUUCGGAGCGUAGAGCUCUGCUAUUGGGGAAGAACAAAUGUGUAAGUAACUAUGCACGGCUUGACGGUACCUGAUCAGAAAGCCACGGCUAACUACGUG
rnacentral:rRNA from 1 species